CCCCUAGUACGNCGAGUGAGAGGGAAGAGCUCAAAUUUUGAAUCUGGCGUCUUCGGCGNNNGUGUUNUAAUCUAGAGAAGUGUUUUCCGUGGCGGACCGUGCACAAGUCUCCUGGAAUGGAGCGUCAUGGAGGGUGAGAAUCCCGUAUAUGGCACGGACUCCCGUCGCUCUGCGAUACACUCUCGACGAGUCGAGUUGUUUGGGAAUGCAGCUCAAAGUGGGUGGUAAAUGCCAUCUAAAGCUAAAUAUUGGCGAGAGACCGAUAGCGAACAAGUACCGUGAGGGAAAGAUGAAAAGCACUUUGGAAAGAGAGUGAAACAGUACGUGAAAUUGUUAAAAGGGAAACGCUUGAAGUCAGUCGCGCCUUUCAGGAUUCAGCCUUGCUUCUGCUCGGUUUACUUCCUGUUGGGUGGGUCAACGUCAGUUUCAGCCAGAGGAGAAAGGCUCGGGGAAUGUGACAGGCUUGCCUGUGUUAUAGCCCCUUGUUGUAUACUUUGGUCGGGACUGAGGACUGCAGCGCGCCUUUACGGCCGGGGUUCGCCCACGUACGCGCUUAGGAUGUUGGCAUAAUGGCUUUAAGCGACCCGUCUUGAAACACGGACCAAGGAGUCUAACAUGUGCGCGAGUGUCUGGGUGUAAAACUCGGACGCGAAAUGAAAGUGAAAGGUCGGGAACAUUUGCGUGUGCACCGACGCCCGGAGCUGAACUUCUGUGACGCAUCUGCGGUAGAGCGUAUAUGUUGGGACCCGAAAGAUGGUGAACUAUGCCUGAAUAGGGUGAAGCCAGAGGAAACUCUGGUGGAGGCUCGUAGCGAUUCUGACGUGCAAAUCGAUCGUCAAAUUUGGGUAUAGGGGCGAAAGACUA
rnacentral:rRNA from 1 species